rnacentral:rRNA from 1 species
UGGGGAAUAUUGCACAAUGGGCGAAAGCCUGAUGCAGCGACGCCGCGUGAGGGAUGACGGCCUUCGGGUUGUAAACCUCUUUCAGUAGGGACGAAGCGCAAGUGACGGUACCUGCAGAAGAAGCACCGGCUAACUACGUGCCAGCAGCCGCGGUAAUACGUAGGGUGCGAGCGUUGUCCGGAAUUACUGGGCGUAAAGAGCUCGUAGGCGGGUUGUCACGUCGUCUGUGAAAUCCUAGGGCUUAACCCUGGACGUGCAGGCGAUACGGGCUGACUUGAGUACUACAGGGGAGACUGGAAUUUCUGGUGUAGCGGUGGAAUGCACAGAUAUCAGGAAGAACACCGAUGGCGAAGGCAGGUCUCUGGGUAGUAACUGACGCUGAGGAGCGAAAGCAUGGGUAGCGAACAGG